rnacentral:rRNA from 1 species
UACAGAGGUCUCGAGCGUUGUUCGGAUUCAUUGGGCGUAAAGGGUGCGCAGGUGGGCUGUCAAGUUUGAUGUGAAAGCCCCGGGCUUAACCCGGGAAUGGCAUUGAAUACUGAUGGUCUGGAGGAUUGGAGGGGGGACUGGAAUUCUUGGUGUAGCAGUGAAAUGCGUAGAUAUCAAGAGGAACACCAGUGGCGAAGGCGAGUCCCUGGACAAUUCCUGACACUGAGGCACGAAAGCCAAGGGAGCAAACAGG